rnacentral:tRNA from 1 species
GCGCCCGUAGCUCAGUUGGAUAGAGUACCUGGCUACGAACCAGGNNNUCGAAUCCUUCCGGGCGCGCCA